CCGCCUUUCAACAGCCAGGAACAGCAGCUGCUAAACAGAAUUCACUGCAGGACAGUCUGCUUCCCUCCCAGGCAUUUGCACGGGGCCUUCCCAGUCAGAAGGCUGGGCAGGAGCUUGUGCAGAGAGAGCUGGAAUUCUGGGAAAACACGUUCCAUCACCAUGGCUGAUUCGGAGUAAAAGACACAUUAACUAAGAAGCUCAGUCUGCAACCCCGUGUGCAAGAAAGUGACUUUGAAAUCGUCUUUCUAUAAUGGAAAUGCACUUCCGUUUCUUUCUCCCAUCUGCGUCCUUGGUGGAGAGGUCAUCCCAGCCAGGUCAGGGUCUCCUGGAAAAGGUGUGUGUGGAGCUGGCGGCAGCUGCAGCGAGGGCUGAUUCCUCACCGGCUGGCUCUGUGCAUCCUCCCAGCCCUGGUCCCCAGCCCUCCCGAGGACAGUUCUGCACACUCCCUGAGACCCUUUACAGGAGCUCAUGUUGACCUAAUCAGCCAAUGUCAUCGUUUGUUCUUAAGGAAACAGGACUCCCAGGAUAAAAAGUUCCCUUUCUAACCAGACCAGCUGAGACUGGUUGAAACCAAGAUAGCUGACCGAGAAACUUCAAAAAGACCUUCAGCCUUAUUAUCAUCUCAUUUCCAUGCUCAGUGACACGCCCACAGUGCCAUGAUGGUUGGAAAUCACCAUGACGAUGACUGGAGGAAGGAAGGUCGCGCUCCGGUUCCAGGAAGCUCACUGCCCGCUCCCGGAAAAGACAUGAAUAUUCCUCCCCUUGCUUGGGCCACGGAAUGAAGCCUGCACUGCGGACACUCACUUUCGGUUUCAUGUAUUGGCUUCGUGACACCCCACAGCGAAAGACCCUCUGUUCUGGGGGAAUGACUGUGUUGGUGACAAAACCAUGCUUUCUGGAUCACUGUGGUAUUACGGCAGGGCUUGAAGUCAGGUAUGUGGGUUCUCCAACUCUGUUCUUUUUUCUUCCUCAUGGUGUUGGCUGUCCGAGGACUUUCGCCUUUCCAUAUGAACUUUAGACUCAGGUGGCAUCGCCUGCAGAAUGCCUUGCUGGGAUUGGCCGGGAUUGAACGUUAGACUCAGGUGGCAUCACCUGCAGAAUGCCUUGCUGGGAUUGGCCGGGAUUGAACGUUAGACUCAGGUGGCAUCACCUGCAGAAUGCCUUGCUGGGACUGGCUGGGAUUGAACGUUAGACUCAGGUGGCAUCGCCUGCAGAAUGCCUUGCGGGGAUUGGCUGGGAUUGAACGUUAGACUCAGGUGGCAUCGCCUGCAGAAUGCCUUGAGGGGAUUGGCCGGGAUUGAACGUUAGACUCAGGUGGCAUCGCCUGCAGAAUGCUUUGCUGGGAUUGGCUGGGAUUGAACGUUAGACUCAGGUGGCAUCGCCUGCAGAAUGCCUUGCUGGGAUUGGCCGGGAUUGAACGUUAGACUCAGGUGGCAUCGCCUGCAGAAUGCCUUGCUGGGAUUGGCCGGGAUUGAACGUUAGACUCAGGUGGCAUCACCUGCAGAAUGCCUUGCUGGGAUUGGCUGGGAUUGAACGUUAGACUCAGGUGGCAUCGCCUGCAGAAUGCCUUGCGGGGAUUGGCUGGGAUUGCAGCGAAUCACCUCUUGGCUCUAAUAGCCAAAAUUCAUAGCUGUGCAGAACUCUCUUUGAAAAAAUGGCCAAUGAUUACAUAAGAGUGAAUCCAAUUCCCAUUAACAAAUCUUAAUAUAAUACAUCCAACAAAGCUACGUGUAGAAACUAAGUGACAUCAAACAUAUGCUUGUCGUAAUCACGUGUGUUGAAAACUGUGUUGAAAAGUGCACCAGGUGCCAGUAGGGGCCAAGGGACCUAGGCCCCUUGCCAAGGUCAGCGCAUGCUGACCUGCGCUGGUGGUCGGGUGGAGGGCUCCAUUUGCAAACAGGCGACAGUUGGCUGCCAAUCUUGUUGAUCAUUUAUUUGCUGAUCAAAAAGGAAUUCUGUCAGUACUGUGCACCCUAACACAAUAUUUGGACCUUCAUACAUGUAUUAGUCGGUUUUCCUGCUGCUAAUAAAGACAUACCCAAGACUGGGUAAUUUAUAAAGGAAAGAGGUUUAAUGGACUCACAGUUCCGCAUGGCUGGGGAGGCCUCACAAUCAUGGUGAAUGGCAAAGGAGGAGCAAAGUUGCAUCUUACAUGGCAGCAAGCAAGAGGCCUUGUGCAGGGGAACUCCCAUUUAUAAAACCAUUAGAUCUCAUGAGACUUACUCACUAUCACGAGAACGGCAUGGGAAAUGUCUGCCUCCAUGAUUCAAUUACUUCCCACCAGGUCCCUCCCACAACACAUGGGAAUUAUGGGAGCUACAAUUCAAGAUGAGAUUUGGGUGGGGACUCAGCCAAACCAUAUCGAUACAUAAGCAUUUUACUGGGCUUUGGCUGUAUUAAGGGAUUGAUUGGAGAUUUUAAGAUCAUACAUUAUAAUUUUUCCCAUUUAAAAUAAUGCAAAAUGUGUUCUUCAUUGAUGCUUCCAAGCACAGAUUCUGACAUUUUGCAACAGGAUUCCAAUGUUAAGAGAAAGCUCCGUGUCACUUACUGGUUCUGAUGGGUCAGACCUGGACUCGGGGAAUGGAGGGGCUGGGUUCCUCCUAAACCACAGGGACUGAGGUGGGGUACGAGUGACUACCCAAAAGAACACUGGGGUUCAUUUAGCAACAGGAUGGGAAAUGGAUACUGAAAAGCAAAAUAACAAAUUUUACAAAAAUGUUUUCUGUCCAAGAAUUAAAUAUGUGACACAUCAAUGUGUUCAAUGUCCUUACAUAUUAUGCGUAAGACAUCUGGGCACAGAUAGGAAGGCAGGACAGGUCUGAGCACCUCCCGCCACCUCUCCCCUCCCGGCUCAGGAAAGCUGCUCACAGCUGCAGCCAGCCCGGCCCCCCGCCCUCACCUGCUCCCCCUGCUGUCUCCAGAGUCCCUGGGCUUUCUCCCCCUCCACCUGUUUCCUCUCCUUGGGCUGCCUCUCCCAGGCUAAACAUGCCCGGGGCACAUCAGUGUUGAAAAGAGCUGUUUCUCUGCUGUCCUCACCCCUAAGCUACAGGCUACACCUUGUUUCCCACCCACGGAGAAUCUUCUAGGGAAAUUAGUGCACAGGAUAAGCUUUUAACAGAUUAUCAGAAACGUUUUCAUCCUAGUGUUUCCUGUGACCAUGUGGCCCGCCCAUCCAGGAUGGUCUGCAUCCAGGGAAAGAUGGGGAAGAGGGGAGGGCAGGCCCAGUGGGGGCCUCCCCACCCACAGGCCCCUCCUCCUCCUGAUGGAGCAGCCCCAUCUGCUACAAGCACUCCCCAGGGGUGCGGGGUUCAUGCUUAGAGCAGCAAUCAUUCCUGUUUAUCUGAAAUUCAAAUCUGCCUGGCAUCAGGUACAUUCAUUUACUAACCUGCAGCUCCACCUGGAAUGAUUUGGGACAGCCCUUCCCAUCUCCCUGGGAAGGAUCAGUGGUGUUUGGACAGGCACUUUGCACCCUGGGUGCCUGUGAGGUGGGUUCCCCUUCAAGAAGAGGCCUAACCAGUGCUCCUGCUCCCUGGGUCGGGUCUCCUCACAGCCCAGGGUCUGGGUGGUCUGCAGGGCAGGCUGUUCUCUGUUCCUCCAGCAAGGAUGACCACUGCAGGUGGGGCUGCAGGGAGGCCAGGUGCUACCAGGUAGAGGCCAGAGCUGGGUCGCUCAGUUCGCUCUGCUCUUGUCCUCAGACCCCGAUGCCAGCUCUAGAAAGAGGGGCCCUUUUGCCUUGGCCUCUCCAUGGGGCACAGGCCUCCCUCCCCACCCCACCACGGCAGUGGGGGCAUGAGCUCCAGGGACACCUGCUUUCCUCACAGCCCUGCCCUGAGGACGCUGAUUUGCCUUCUUGCCACAGGUCCAGAAAAGUCUGGAUUUGAUCCUGGCACCGAGGAGGGUCUCUGUGAGCUUGGACUCCUCUCCUGACAGGGGGAAGGGCAGGGCCAGUGCAUCUCACAGCCAUGGCAGGCUGAUGGGACUGUCACACAGCUUUUUGGCCUUGAACUCAGGGCUUAAUGUUAUCAUAUCACUUAAUACUCCCAGGGACCUGGGUGAGGUACAGUCCCAUUCCCAUUUGACAGAGAGGAGGCUGGGGUGCACUGAGAGGUAAUCAGUGUGCUGGCGACAUUUAACAGCCAGCUCUCCAGAAACAUAAAUCACCCUGAUUUGUGGAGAUUGCCAGGUUCCCAGGCACAAAUAUUCCCAGCACAUCCAAUUUCAAGUGCUAGCAGUUUAACAACUGGCUCAUAAAACCCCUGAAAAUGUGAGAGUCGGCUCCCACAAGCUGCUGUGGGACAGCCCCAGCUCCCUGAUAACCUUCUAGGACCUGCCCUAGUUGGGGAGGAGACGGAUCCAGACCCCAAGGGCCUGGACACCAGGGGGGCUCCACUCAGAUCCUCUGGCCCUCACCAUUCCCAGGACCCCCUCUUGGGCUUCUGUGUUCUUCUCUCUCCAGGGCUGGCUCCUGACACUCCUCUUUAAACAACUGUCCUUAGGCCACUGAGCCCGACCAGCCCCACUGCAGUGAGCCGAAGUGGCCUGGGGGCCAGCCAUGCUGAAGCUGCCUCCUCCCAGCUUGUGGGAUAUGAUUUUGGUGUUUACAGUUUUCAGGAAUUAUAUAAACCAGGUAUGACACAGGCUGAACAUCAGUCAUGGUGAAAUUAUUCACAUCCCAGGAACCUGGCAGGGGCUGUGCUGCUGCUGCCCCUGGGAGUGAGUUGUCCCACACUCAGCAGCUCGCCCUGUCUCAUCCUCCCCACCUAGCGAGGCUUUGACCAGUGACGGGGGUGUGGGAACCUCCAACAGGGCGGCUGAGGCUGGGUUCACGCUCCAGGGCGCCCCUGCAGGACCACAAGGAAGCCAUUGCAGUCAGGAGACCUGGCGCUCAAAGCUUCGCUUAUCCUGACCCUGUGCCUCUCCCCGCUCCCUCCCGGCCCUCCCUUCACGCGUCACCUGUUCCCAAGUCCUCAUCCCAGGAUCUGCUUCCGGGGACCAGGCCUGAUAGGCUCCAAAGCUCUGCUCUUAACCAGCACCGCAACUGGAGGAAAAGCAGGAGGCAUUUGGCUGUUGAUGAUCAUGACAUUUUCAUUAUUCUGUGUGGUUUGGGUUUAUUUUACCCAAGGAGCACAGUCCACAGAAAAUAGAACAUUUCAGGAAUACCAACCAAGCUAAGUAACAUGUUCACAUGAUAUUUAUUAAAACUGUGAUGAAACCGGCUCCACAAACCGUUGAUAGAAGAUGGGCUGUGUAAAACCGGUACUGGGAAAACGGGUUGUCUGUGUGGAGGAAAGUAAGACUGAAUCGCUAACCAAUACUGCAAAC
rnacentral:lncRNA from 10 species